GAACAGAAUGGAUUCUACAUUAUGAUGCUAGAAGCACAAAAUUGAUAUCCAGAUAACACUGUUACAGCAGGACAGAAGCCUGCUGCCAGAAUUUGUGACUAAGGAACAUUUACCUCAAAGAUAAUCUAGCUAAAGACUUCGUAAAACUUCUCAAUGACAAGCAAACCCGAGUCAAUGGAUUCAAGGGGAUCCUUCCGGAGCCGAUGCCUCAAGCAGUUUGGAAUGACAGUAGCAAUGUCCUCCACUGUGACCUUGUCCCUUCCUUUCAAUGAGGCCAGCGCCUUGGCAGCCCUGUUUGUGACAAUAUCACCUCUGAGCCCAUCAACAUUCAACUCAGAGCACACCUUGGAUAUCUUGACACGGAGGUCAUGGUCGAUCUGCACGGCACCAAGGUUAGACCGAGCGGAUGAGAUCUGGUCCUGGAGCUUCUCCUGCUCCUCUUUGUAGGAGUCACGGAACGCCUUCGGGUCUCUGUCAAAGCGAGCCCUCUCUUCCACGAUUUUCACC
rnacentral:lncRNA from 1 species